CGGUAGGGGCAGAGGGAAUUUCCGGUGGAGCGGUGAAAUGCGUAGAGAUCGGAAAGAACACCAACGGCGAAAGCACUCUGGCUGGGCCGACACUGACACUGAGAGACGAAAGCUAGGGGAGCCCCCAUGGGGAUUAGAUACCCCAGUAGUCCUAGCCGUAAACGAUGGAUACUAGGCGCUGUGCGUAUCGACCCGUGCAGUGCUGUAGUCUAACGUCGUUUAAGUAUCCCGUCCUGGGGAGUACGUUCGCCCAAGAAGUCACACCUCCCAAAGGUAAUG
rnacentral:rRNA from 1 species